UAGGAUUUAAUUAUAUAGUAGAUCUAUAAAUAAUAAAAUAAUUUUUUUAAAGCUAAUUAUUUU
rnacentral:tRNA from 1 species